rnacentral:rRNA from 1 species
UACGGAGGGGGCUAGCGUUGUUCGGAAUUACUGGGCGUAAAGGGCGCGUAGGCGGCUUGAUAAGGUUGCGGUGAAAGCCCGGGGCUCAACCCCGGGUCGGCCGUGGCAACUGUCGAGCUGGAGCACUGUAGAGGCAGGUGGAAUUCCGGGUGUAGCGGUGGAAUGCGUAGAGACCCGGAAGAACACCGGUGGCGAAGGCGGCCUGCUGGGCAGUGGCUGAUGCUGAGGCGCGACAGCGUGGGGAGCAAACAGG